GGGGCUGCCGGGCCUGGGCUGGACUGGGCUGGGCACUUGGCCACAGGCAGCCCUCUGAGGGCCCUUUCAUCU
rnacentral:miRNA from 1 species